rnacentral:rRNA from 1 species
UACGUAGGGGGCUAGCGUUGUCCGGAAUCAUUGGGCGUAAAGGGCGUGUAGGCGGCUUUGCAAGUCCGUUGUGAAAACUCGAGGCUCAACCUCGAGACGCCGGUGGAAACUGCAAAGCUAGAGUCCGGAAGAGGAGAGUGGAAUUCCUGGUGUAGCGGUGAAAUGCGCAGAUAUCAGGAGGAACACCCGUGGCGAAAGCGGCUCUCUGGGACGGUACUGACGCUGAGACGCGAAAGCGUGGGGAGCAAACAGG